rnacentral:rRNA from 1 species
UACGUAGGUGGCGAGCGUUGUCCGGAUCUAUUGGGCGUAAAGCGAGCGCAGGUGGUUUAUUAAGUCUGGUGUAAAAGGCAGUGGCUCAACCAUUGUAUGCAUUGGAAACUGGUAGACUUGAGUGCAGGAGAGGAGAGUGGAAUUCCAUGUGUAGCGGUGAAAUGCGUAGAUAUAUGGAGGAACACCGGUGGCGAAAGCGGCUCUCUGGCCUGUAACUGACACUGAGGCUCGAAAGCGUGGGGAGCAAACAGG